UCGGGAAUUUUGGGCAAUGGGCGAAGGCCUGACCCAGCAACGCCGCGUGAAGGAUGAAGUAUUUCGGUAUGUAAACUUCGAAAGAAUAGGAAGAAUAAAUGACGGUACUAUUUAUAAGGUCCGGCUAACUACGUGCCAGCAGCCGCGGUAAUACGUAGGGACCAAGCGUUGUUCGGAUUUACUGGGCGUAAAGGGCGCGUAGGCGGCAAUUCAAGUCAUCUGUGAAAUCUCCGGGCUUAACUCGGAACGGUUCAGAUGAUACUGCUUUGCUAGAGUGCAGAAGGGGCAAUCGGAAUUCUUGGUGUAGCGGUGAAAUGGCGUAGAUAUCAAGAGGAACACCUGAGGUGAAGACGGGUUGCUGGGCUGACACUGACGCUGAGGCGCGAAAGCCAGGGGAGCAAACGGGAUUAGAUACCCCCGUAGUCCCUGAGCGGGCUGGCAAGGCGCAU
rnacentral:rRNA from 1 species